rnacentral:lncRNA from 1 species
UUAUUUAUCCGUCAUUUCAAGAAGAGCUACAAAAGUGAUCCAUGGCAAUGAAACAAUCAAUGUCGUCAUGCCAUACAUGGACAAAGGGCAAUGGAGUAAAGGGGUGGGUGGAAAGGCCCCGAGAAGAGAAUGUGAAAUGUGCAAAGGACGCGGUCAUAAAACAGAGCCCUGUCACUUUGGCGAGGAAGGCUAUUUUUGUGCGACCUAGAUUGAAACUCUCAGAUAAGAGUGAAAAUUUUCAGGCACUUCAGUACGUCAGGAGAAAAGGGAAACAAGAAAGGAGCUUGAGCAAAGAUUAAUUAACAACCUUUGCUUUCUGGAAACAGAUGGCUUAAGGGAACAGUUUUACCCUGGGGCAAAGUCUGACUGUGGAUCAGGAAAAAUUUCCCACAUUUACCUAUUGCUCUUUUUGGCUCUGGCUUUUUUCUACAUAUCUUCUCUCCUACUCAAUACUACUCUUCUUCCUCAAGCAUUGUCAAUACUGGGAUACAUUUGAAAAAGUUAUUUUAUUUGACUUGUACCACUCAUGAUAGACUGUGAGUUGCUUCGGGGAAAAGAUUAUUUAUUACACAUCUUUAGAGCUCCAGUGUGGAGCACAGCAAUUGGGACCUAAGUAGGGAUAGUGAAUUGUUGUUGAAUGAAUCUGAUUCUUAUAAUCAUUUUAAUCGCUUAAGAAAAGGAGGUAGAGGGCGUUCCAAGAUGGC